GUUUUUGGAUUCCAUAUUCUUCGAUGAUGAAUAAAGGUGUGUUCUUCAUGUUGUAUUAUGCUUCAUGUAUUGACUACUGAGAAUCUAUUUUAUUCCUAUUAUUAUAGUGGAAAUUGAUUCGGAGGUUGCAUAUUGGUGUUUUCUUGUGUUUUAUUUUUUCGAUAUUUAUAUUGCUUACAUAAAUUGUUGCUUUUGUGGUAUUGCAGUUUGUAUUGGUGCGUUGGUGUAUGGUAUCGGACCAGGUUGUAUUGUGUGGACUAAAAUGGAGGAGUCGGUAGGUAGUGCUAUGAUUAAACUCACAGGUCAAAAUUGGGUGACUUGGAAGCCUAGAAUGGAGGGAA
rnacentral:lncRNA from 1 species